UCCACCGUGAGGUGGAAUCUGAAGGAAGCCAGCGGCAAAACUCUGGUCUGACGUACAGAAAUCACAUAUAAGGCUUACUUAAAUCGGGUGAGUUUGCUGAACAAAACAAAGCCCAAUGCUAUCC
rfam:Clostridium sp. BL8 Contig187, whole genome shotgun sequence.